rnacentral:rRNA from 1 species
GAUGAACGCUGGCGGCGUGCCUAAUACAUGCAAGUCGAACGAGGUGCUUGAGUAGCAAUACGAGAGUAUCCUAGUGGCGAACGGGUGAGUAACGCGUUGGUGACCUACCCCAAAGUGUGGGAUAACAGUUCGAAAGGAUUGCUAAUACCGCAUGUGGUCUUCGGAUUUAGAAACUGAUGACUAAAGGAGCAAUUCGCUUUGGGAGGGACCUGCGUCCCAUCAGCUAGUUGGUGAGGUAAUGGCUCACCAAGGCUACGACGGGUAGGGGACCUGAGAGGGUGACCCCCCCACAAUGGAACUGAAACACGGUCCAUACACCUACGGGUGGCAGCAGUAGGGAAUAUUGCACAAUGGGCGAAAGCCUGAUGCAGCAACGCCGCGUGUGCGAUGAAGGCCUUCGGGUCGUAAAGCACUUUUCUGAGGGAUGAGCAAGGACAGUACCUCAGGAAUAAGUCUCGGCUAACUACGUGCCAGCAGCCGCGGUAAU